CAGUAGCCGCGGUAAUACGGAGGGUGCAAGCGUUAUCCGGAUUUAUUGGGUUUAAAGGGUCCGUAGGCGGAUCUGUAAGUCAGUGGUGAAAUCUCACAGCUUAACUGUGAAACUGCCAUUGAUACUGCAGGUCUUGAGUAAAUUUGAAGUGGCUGGAAUAAGUAGUGUAGCGGUGAGAUGCAUAGAUAUUACUUAGAACACCAAUUGCGAAGGCAGGUCACUAAGAUUUAACUGACGCUGAUGGACAAAAGCGUGGGGAGCGAACAGGAUUAGAUACCCCAGUAGUCCCUGUCUCUUAUAC
rnacentral:rRNA from 1 species